GGAUAGCAGUUACUAAUCCAUCACUGAUCCCCACACCCAACCUCCCUCAUUCAAUUACGAGAAAGCGCCAUUGGUCGUUUUGUCAAAUUUCGCAACGCUGAUCCAAUUCAACGCAUAUAAGUGCGAGUGCGCGAGUCACUGAACUCAUAGCACCAUUCAUCAGAUCUCGUUCUUGCAGAGCCAAAUGGCGAUGUUGUUGAAGCAUGUGAGGGCGUCGUCGUCGCUGCUGAAGCAGCACGUGACCCGCGCGCACCUGCUUUCGCGGCCGUUCACCACGACCGAGGGCCACCGUCCCUCUAUCGUCCACAAACGCAGCCUCGACAUCCUCCACGAUCCUUGGUUCAAUAAAGGAACAGCUUUUUCCAUGACAGAACGAGACCGUCUUGAUCUACGUGGACUGCUUCCCCCAAAUGUCAUGUCUCCUGACCUACAGAUUGAACGCUUCAUGGUUGAUCUGAAGAGGCUUGAAGUUCAAGCAAGAGAUGGACCUUCUGAUCCUAAUGCAUUGGCUAAGUGGCGGAUACUUAAUCGCUUGCAUGACAGGAAUGAGACUAUGUACUAUAAGGUUUUGAUUGCCAAAAUAGAGGAAUAUGCACCUGUAGUGUACACUCCAACAGUGGGCCUUGUAUGUCAGAACUAUAGUGGACUAUUUAGAAGACCGAGAGGAAUGUAUUUCAGUGCCGAGGAUCGUGGUGAAAUGAUGUCUAUGGUGUAUAACUGGCCAGCUGAGCAGGUUGAUAUGAUUGUAGUAACUGAUGGGAGCAGAAUCCUGGGACUUGGAGAUCUUGGAGUUCAAGGAAUUGGAAUUGCCAUUGGGAAGCUUGAUCUAUAUGUUGCUGCUGCUGGGAUAAAUCCUCAAAGGGUACUUCCCGUGAUGAUUGAUGUUGGUACUAACAAUGAGAAGUUACUUGAAGAUCCCUUAUAUCUGGGAUUGCAGCAACAUCGUCUUGAUGGUGAUGACUAUCUGGCUGUUGUUGAUGAAUUUAUGGAGGCUGUCUUUACGCGCUGGCCAAAUGUAAUUGUGCAGUUUGAAGAUUUCCAAAGCAAAUGGGCAUUUAAGUUAUUACAGAGGUACAGAAAUACCUACAGAAUGUUCAAUGAUGAUGUACAGGGAACAGCCGGUGUUGCAAUUGCUGGACUUUUAGGUGCUGUAAGGGCACAAGGAAGACCAAUGAUUGACUUUCCAAAGCAGAAGAUUGUUGUUGCUGGUGCUGGAAGUGCUGGAAUUGGGGUUCUUAAUGCAGCCAGAAAAACAAUGGCAAGAAUGUUGGGAAAUAAUGAAAUAGCUUUUAAGAGUGCAAAAAGUCAGUUUUGGGUUGUUGAUGCAAAGGGAUUAAUCUCUGAAGGACGUGAAAAUAUUGAUCCAGAUGCCCUUCCUUUUGCAAGAAAUUUGAAAGAAAUGGAGCGCCAAGGACUGAGAGAAGGAGCAAGCCUUGAGGAAGUGGUCAAGCAAGUGAAGCCCGAUGUCCUCCUAGGAUUAUCAGCUGUUGGAGGAUUGUUUUCAAAGGAGGUAUUAGAAGCUCUCAAGGAUUCAACAUCAACGAGACCAGCUAUAUUUGCUAUGUCGAAUCCUACAAAGAAUGCUGAAUGCACCGCUGAAGAAGCAUUCUCUGUUUUGGGUGACAACAUUAUUUUUGCAAGUGGAAGUCCAUUCAGUAAUGUGGAUCUUGGAAAUGGUCAUAUUGGCCACUGCAACCAGGGAAACAACAUGUACCUCUUUCCGGGCAUUGGUCUCGGAACUCUUCUGUCAGGUGCUAGUAUAAUCUCUGAUGGCAUGCUACAAGCUGCGGCUGAGCGUCUGGCUACAUAUAUGAGUGAAGAGGAGGUGCUCAAAGGGAUUAUUUUCCCUUCAACAUCCAGAAUUCGAGAUAUUACAGAGAAGGUAGCCGCAGCUGUUAUAAAAGAAGCGUUGGAGGAGGACCUAGCUGAAGGAUAUCAUGGAAUGGAUGCUAGGGAGCUAAAGAAACUUAGCGAGGAUGAACUCGCAGAAUAUGUGAAGAAUAACAUGUGGAAUCCAGAGUACCCGACAUUAGUUUACAGGAAAGAAUGAGUAACCUGCAGUUUUAUGGUCACUACAAUUUCCCUCACGAUGCAUCUACGCUUUAAUCAGGAACCAUAUUUGAACGGGUGACACGAGGAUUUUCAGUCCUCUGCUCUACCAACCGAGCUAUCCCGACCAUUCUUGAAGUUUAAUACUUUGAUUUUCAAAGAUUUUUGAAAUAUA